AUGUUUGUGGUGGACUUUGAGCGGUGUAUUAAUGUGCAGGAGGUUUUUGUACAGCCGCUGAAUGGGAUUGUUUCACUGUGGUACACUUUUGGUGGAGGCACAAGACUCUCAGUUGGAACUAACGCUCAGCCGACUCUAACGGUCCUGUCACCCUCCAGAGAUGAGUUGAAUCAGGGUAAAGCUACAGUCAUGUGUGUGGCCAGUAAGGGAUUCCCCUCUGACUGGAAGUUGAGCUGGAAGGUGGAUGGUAACAGCAGGAGCUCUGGUGUGAAUCUGAGUCCAGGUGUCCUGCAGAAGGAUGGACUGUACAGCUGGAGCAGCAGUCUGAGUCUGACUAACAGUGAAUGGAGCUCAGCAAAAACCAUCAGCUGUGAGGCCACACAGAGCUCUCAGAAUCCAGUCUCCAAAAUCCUCAACACACAGGAGUGUGAUGUAUAAUCAAGCACACACAAAACCGAAACAACAAAAUCGUAUUAAAAAAUGACAUUCUUGUCUCUUGCUUUGCAGCAGCCCUCUUGCUUUUUAAAUGUUUGUAGUGCAUAUGACAGCAUUGAACUAUUUGCUGAGUCCUAUUGUGGUUCCAAAAAUAAAUGUUUAUUGACUUCAA